rnacentral:lncRNA from 1 species
UCCUUUCCAGCAGUAUUUUUCAGCACGUGUGACAAGCCUCUCGGCUCUCGCCCCCCCAUCUCAUUCUGCUCCACCUCCGAAAUCCCAACCCUAGGGGGAAAAGGAUGGGAUAGAUUCCAAGGGCAGCAAGGGCAAUGACAGCGACGACGAUGACCUGUUUCAAGAAGAAUCGGAAUUACCCCAGAGGCAGCGGUGGCGCCGAAGACAUGCGCCACCGCCAUGUGCUCCAUGACAACCACCGUCCCGGGUGUUCUGG